GAACGAGAAAGUGGAGCAAUACAUGAGUACAGUGGCGUACGGGUGAGUAACACGUGACUAACCUACCCUCGAGUGGGGAAUAACUUCGGGAAACCGAGGCUAAUACCGCAUAAUGUCUACGGACCAAAUGCGUAAGCAGCUUGAGGAGGGGGUCGCGGCUGAUUAGCUUGUUGGCGGGGUAACGGCCCACCAAGGCAAUGAUCAGUAGCCGGCCUGAGAGGGCGCACGGCCACACUGGAACUGAAACACGGUCCAGACUCCUACGGGAGGCAGCAGUGGGGAAUUUUGCGCAAUGGGGGAAACCCUGACGCAGCAACGCCGCGUGGAGGAUGAAGCCCCUUGGGGUGUAAACUCCUUUCGAUCGGGACGAUUAUGACGGUACCGGAUGAAGAAGCACCGGCUAACUCUGUGCCAGCAGCCGCGGUAAU
rnacentral:rRNA from 1 species